GAUUUGCAAAGACCCGAAGCUUGCAAAAGCGGAUGAUUUCUUUGCUUCAGGUCUUAACGUUAGUGGAAAUGCAGUGCCUCAGUUAGGCUUUGCUGUAAAUAUUGUGGAUGUAAACAAGAUGCCUGGACUCAACACUCUUGGUAUUUCUAUAGUUCGUGCUGAUUUGGAACCACAGGGUCUCUCUCCACUUCACACGCACCCUCGAGCUA
rnacentral:misc_RNA from 1 species